rnacentral:lncRNA from 1 species
CAAACGUUGUUCAGCAUUUGAGAGUUACCAGCAUUAACUCACCACAAGGAUAGAGCUAGAUUCAUAGCCCACCCUGACUCUCAAGUCAAGAAAGCACAAGAAAGAAGAGCUGGACUCUAAUUAUGUAUUUGAAAAUGGGAGGGAGCAAGACCAAUCCUCUCUACUCUGCAGAGAUCCAAUGGCCUCUUGUAAUUUGAAUAUCUAAGGAACAUGAAGUCAGACUCCAUGGGUAUCUCUGAAGAAGGCCAGUUAGAAAGUGGGCAUAUUUCCUAAGGUGAAACACUGUGGAGAAGCAAUGAUCUACUUGUCUGGGAGAAGCAGUUCUUUUCUGAGUUCGACAAUGAAGGAACACAGCAGUCUUGGAAGACCUGAAAUCCUGGAGUCUCUGGCUUCCCGGCAGGCACCUGUUGCCAUUUCUCCACCAGGAACCCCUCUAGCCUCCUUCGGAAUCCCUGCAGAGGCCUCUUUCUCUGUCAGAUCCCCGCUGUCCUCCUGUGGAGAGUCCCCUGUGCAGCAGCUAUAUCCAAGAUCCCAGAGUCUCCUACAGAGCUAAGCCUCUGCUUUAGCCCCGCCUCCUUAUUUACCUUGACUUCCUGAUAAUAUCUCCUCCAGUAGUGUAUUUUGUCCUUGUGGCGCAGGUGGGGCUUAUUCUUGGUAGGAUUUCCAGCUCUACUUAGAGUGGGAGCAUGAAUGAAUGAAUGAAUGAAUGCAGCAUUGGAUGAGUCUCUAUCCCUUCUGCAGUCUCUGGAGGUGAUGUCUCCCCUGAGAGGACCAUUGACCAGCAUGAGUCAGAAUCCUGGUAACCUAUUGAUUUCCUCAGCUGGCUCCCUACCUAUUGAUGGCCGUGGGCUUGCUGUAGGAACCCUUUAGUACAGUUCCUAACCCUGCCACUUUAGCUGCAAAUUCUUUACUAUUAUUACAUGCUGAGAUUUUAGAGGGCAUUGGAAACACCUUUCUCAUUCAGGCCCCAUAACCUGUAGGAUGCUGGAGCCAGGUCAUUGGUCACCCUCAAACCAAGUGCUCUCCUUCUUGAAUGUCUUAAGGGGCCACUGUUAAAUCACAACACCCACAAAGCAGGCUAGUAGGAGCCAGAGUACAACACGGUGUCUUGGAGGGCAGGAGUCCCCUCUCCUUUGCCAUCCUGUAUCAUCAGAGAAGAUCCCAACUAGGCUGGGCUUUUACACAAACACUCCCUGCUCACAGCAGGUGACUCCAGGCUGUACUUGUCACCAGUCCCCGGUAGCCCUGUUCUUUUUCCUUUUUCAAAUGCAGUCACCACAAUAAAUUAAACUUUCAUGGCUCCAUUUCCUUCUUUCCUAUUGCGGAACCCUGACAUAUUUCCUGAAGGAAAUACUUUGGGGAUUAUAAUUGAAACACAAUCACUCAUAAUGGAAGCAGGGAGGCCGAGGGUAAUAGAGUUAGCUCUCCUUUCUCAGGGCAGACAUGUUAAUUACAUUUUCUAUUUCCGCUCAUUACCUCGGAGCAGGUCUCUGUGGGCUGCCCUGCUUCUUCUUCUCCUCCUUAGCUGAAGGCAUCUGGAGAGGGCAUAAGUACCCAUGAGCUCCUUGGUAAUGAUUCACCUCCAUCCAGCCAGGGUUCAUUUCUCUGUGCAGACCCAAGGGCCCAGCACUGAGCUCCCUGAGUCAUCUUCAGGGCUGGCCUGACCUCACAGCUUCCUGCUCUCACUCAGCCUCCUUGACUGCAGAUUCUCCUUUAGUUUGUUCAUUGACCUCUUAGUCUAACACAGUCUUCUCUCAGAAAAUGCAGGGGGACCAUGCCCACCGACUUCCCAUCCUCUUGUGUGAGCUGUGGAGCCCCACUGUUCUCUGCCCUCAGUGAUCCUCCCAACAGUCCUGCUUGCCUCCCUGGUUGUCGAUACUAAAACAGAACUCCUUUGAAGGCUUUGGGACAUCUUCAGAACUCAAAGGGAAGAACAGUAGAGCUUUGAACUGCUAAGGAGACAGCUCUUGGGUCUCAGCAUACUCAGGGAAGCUGCUUUACCACAGAGACACCUCCUACUAGGAAAGUGUCCUUCCUGGGUGUGUUCUGUGGAUGAGGUGACACUGGCUGUCUUUCUCAACUGUUCUCCACCUUACUUUUAAAAAAUUUAUUUUUUGUGCCUGAGGGUUUUGCCUGUAUGUACACAUAUGCACCGUGUGCAUGCCUGGUGUCCCCAGAGGUCAGAAGAGGACAUCCUAUUCCUUGGAACUGGAGUCACAGGUGUCUGUUAGCUACCAGGUAGCUGCAGGGAAACUGAGCGCCAGGUUCUCUUCAAGGAUAACAAGUGCUCUUAAGCAACCACGGUGCUUUCUGAAACAGGGUCUCACACUCCCCUGAAGCUCAUUGAUUCAGAUAGACUUGCUGGCAAGUGGGUUUCAGGGACCCACCUCCUUAGCCUCGCCAGCACUGAGAUUACAGAAGUGUGACUCUGAGCCUGACUUGUUCUGUUGGUUCUGGGGUCUAACUUCGGUUCCUCAUGUUAGCAGGACAAGCAUCUCCUCAGCUCCCGUUCUCCUUUACUCUCCACAGUCAUUCCACUCUGUUUUUCAGUUUCUCUUCUGCUCACUCAGGAAGGUGGGAGCCUGCUGAACUUCGUGCCCUGUGGCUAAUGCACCUGGUUUCAUCCCAUUGUGAUUGCUGGCUUUACCUAACCAGGUCCAAAGACUUGAGCUUCCAGCUCCUCAUUCUGAUGCUAACUUCCUAAAGACUCAACAAGAGCUGGUGUAACAAUUAACACUAAAGUACCUUCCUCACCGUGGGGAGAAUAAAAUCUCUCUUCCUUUCUCACUUGCUGCUUAGGCUGAGCCAUGAGUCAUCUCUAUUCCCACAGUGAGCUCGCCUUCGGUGUUUCUGGUUGGAGAGCAGAGUCUCCAUUCAGUGAAAUCUGAGCCUGCUGGGGCGGGAAGGAGCAGGAACCGUGGAUGCAAGUGGUUUUGCUAUUCUCUCCCUACACAAAAAAAAGCUUGGAAUCUAAAACAAGGGAACAGAAGGAGGGAGAAAUGACAUUCAGUGUCUCUGGCCUGUGUGCACUCCUGUGGGAACACUGAAAGGUUCAGGCAUUAUGCUGGCCUGCCUGUUACCUUGUGGAACAGGCAGUACCCUGGUCAGUCCAGGGUUCCAUGGGAACUAAAUCUGUACCCAGGUGCAGAGGACCCCUUUAAAAGACAGACCCUGCCCAUUUACGCUCUCUCUUUGCUCUCUCUCUCUCUACUCUUCUCUCUGCUUCUGCUCUUGUCUUCUUUCUGUCUCUUUAUGCUCUCUCUGUUUCUCUAUGGCGACUGGCCAUGGCUGUCAGCCAUUAACCAUGUUCCUCUUUCUUAGUCUUCCCUACUCUGCCAGGCCUAUAAUAAACUGAUUAAUUUGUCUACUAUGUCUCUUAGUCUCAUGUCUCAUCCGCCUCUCUUUUUCUUUAUCUCUAAUUUAAGCAAACAUUUAACAAACACCAGGGCACAGGCUCGCCUUCAUCAAGCAGUCUUGAGAAAAGUACAAAGGUUGGUCCUUGGCUCUAGGGACAACUACCGUUGGCAGAGUCUUCUCUGCAGUGUGCAGGUGAGAAAACAGGUCUGAGAAGAAACUGAGUAGUGAAAGCUAGAGAGUGUCAAACAGGCCUCUAAGAGAGAGUGCUUUCAUCUUCCAGACCCCUUCCC